GAUGAAGAACGUAGCGAAAUGCGAUAAGUAGUGUGAAUUGCAGAAUUCAGUGAAUCAUCGAAUCUUUGAACGCACAUUGCGCCCCUUGGUAUUCCGAGGGGCAUGCCUGUUCGAGCGUCAUUUUGACCACUCCCGCUUGCGGGGUCUUGGGCCUUCGCCUCUGGGCGGGCCUUAAAAUCAGUGGCGGUGCCGUCCGGCUCUAAGCGUAGUAAAUCUCCUCGCUAUAGGGUUCCGGAGGGAUGCUGGCCAACAACCCCCAACUUUUAAGGUUGACCUCGGAUCAGGUAGGGAUACCCGCUGAACUUAAGCAUAUCAAUAAGCGGAGGA
rnacentral:misc_RNA from 1 species